ensembl:ncRNA C06A8.17 ncRNA
CCAACGAGCACAAAACGAGAAUGAUGAUGAUGAUGAUGAUAGGGGGCGGAAAAGAGACUCUGAAAUUGAAUUGUGUGUCGAACUGGUAAGAGUAUAUGUAGACAAGAGAAAACGACAUGUGUCAGAGUUUCAUUCAAAAAUCUCAGAG